GACAGAGGGUGCAAACGUUGUUCGGAUUUAUUGGGCGUAAAGAGCUCGUAGGCGGUUCGGCAAGUCGGGUGUGAAAUUUCGAGGCUCAACCUCGAAACGCCACUCGAUACUGCUGUGACUGGAGUCCGGUAGAGGAGUGCGGAAUUCCUGGUGUAGCGGUGAAAUGCGCAGAUAUCAGGAGGAACACCAACGGCGAAGGCAGCACUCUGGGCCGGUACUGACGCUGAGGAGCGAAAGCGUGGGGAGCAAACAGG
rnacentral:rRNA from 1 species